UACGUAGGGUGCGAGCGUUAAUCGGAAUUACUGGGCGUAAAGGGUGCGUAGGCGGCGGGGUAAGUCGGAUGUGAAAUCCCGGGGCUCAACCCCGGAACUGCAUUCGAUACUGCCUUGCUAGAGUACUGGAGAGGAGACUGGAAUUUACGGUGUAGCAGUGAAAUGCGUAGAUAUCGUAAGGAAGACCAGUGGCGAAGGCGAGUCUCUGGACAGUUACUGACGCUGAGGCACGAAGGCCAGGGGAGCAAACGGG
rnacentral:rRNA from 1 species